CACGGCUAGUAUGGCCAUAAUAAGACAACAUGUGAAGUGACUGUUUAAAUUGAGUCACUUUUUGAUAUCAGUCUUAAAUGUUAGCAUAGGGUGUACAUGGGACUCGUUUUAUUUGCGUGAUUCGGCAUUAGUCCCAGUGACACUGUAACUUUUCUGCUCUGUGCAAAUAGGUUUUUCAAAUGUUAUUUUUUUCCGAAAAUCUCUCAUUUGUGGUUGUUGUUUGUAUUGUCUAUGGUUUUUUGACAAUUAAAAUGUCACCAAACGUCAAAUUUGAAGAAAAUUUUCGCUGUUUGGUGCGUUGAGUGUAAUAUUUUGGUAAUAUUACUUUGCUUUGCGCUACCCCAUAGACUCAUAUUGGCUCAUUAACUACUUUCUUGAGUUUCUUGGACAUCGUCACAUGAAAUAAUAUACGACCGAGCUUGCUCCCGACCAAGCACGAUCAGAUUCCUUGGGAGUUCUUCGGCAGACGAUUUCUAUGCACCGGCUCCAUGAGACGAAGAACAAAACAGCAUGCCACCUGACUGAUGACCCACCCACCGUCUACCCGGACCCAGGAGCUAGAAGUCCUUGAGACAAAAGCUCGGGCAGGAUCCUGACGGGCGCAACGGAAUAUCAUCUACGAUGCUUGUCCCACGGCCUGACUGAAUAAUAUUUAUAUAAUCAACGGAAGGAAAAAACAUUAGAAUAUUGAAAUUGGCUCGUAGGCAAGACAGAAGAUGGACAAAGGCGGUCAGAAAAUGAUGGCCUAGACACAUGAGCUGUUGGCAGAGAUCAUCUGAAGAUGGUCAGAUGACAUCAGCAUCAGCAACCUUGUGGUGAAACAAUUAGCAGGAGCGGCACAGAACUGGCUGAAAAAGUUGAAAAACUUGGUAUAAUAAUAAUAAGAGGCCUAUACCAAUUUGAUGACUGAUAGGCCAAGUUUGAACUGAUUAUUGUGAGAGUUGAUAACUAAGAAUACCCAAUAUGCUGUUAUAGUGUGUAAAUAGUACUUAUAUUUUUUAUAAUUUAUUUAUUAUGUAUAAGUUUAAUAAAUGUUUUACUUACCUAAAGAA